GUUGCUGCUGGGUUAAGGUGGCUGAGGUGUUCUUCUGUAAAGCCAGCUCUUCUCACCUGAGUGAAUGUGGACCCUGUGCUGCUGUUUUGGGCGUCUUCUGGGAGAAGCAAUGUUUGAGUAAGGCUGUUGUACGUUGCAGCUGGGAUACUGUGCUUACUGGGGUUGCUACGCUUGAGCUAAGCUGAUUCUUUGUAGAGUGAUGGUGCUUUGUGUGCUUCUCCUGUAGCCUUGGCGUAAAAUAAGGGAACAAAACACACUGGUUUGCUGCAAAACUUUGUGAAGAAGCUGAAUGUUAUGCUUCCUCCACCUAUAUGGUGUCAAUGUCCGUAGGAUGCACUGCUUAUUCAACUUUGUUAAUUGUAGGAUGCUUGUCAAAGGAACUCCAAAUAGAAACUUCAGAUUUUGUAGUUAGUGAGAAGAAAAAAGAUGGCCCAAUAGAUAAAAUAAUCCAUGAACAGCAUUGUUUCUAAGUGUUUAGCUCUCUUGGCACGUACUGAAUGUCCACCAGACACAGCGGAAGAACUGCUGCCAGCUUCAGUGGUGUAUGUGCAGCUGCAUCCCCCUGAGCUUCCACUGCCACUAUCAGCGGUGUCACACUGUGCACACGACCUUCAGCUCUGAGUGAUUUACCUCUGUGCUAAUAAGGAAAGCAUUUGGACUUCUGCCUGUUGAAAUAGGCCCUCAUUUGUCAUAUCCUGCAUAUCUUUGCCUCAACCUGCACCACAGUAAGAAUUAGCUUUGAUAAAGUUCUCUGUAGGUAUGUCUAGCUACCUCAGCUACCUUUUUUUGGGUGCUGGAUUAGUCAGACUGAUGGGACCUGGAAGUGUUUAUUAUUUUAUGAGAUUUCCUUAGUUGUUUUUAAAAGCCAAAGUACUUUUGAUUUUACGUAGUACUGAGAGAAGCCUUUGUUGCCUCUGAAGGUGAGAUGUUCUUUUUGUUUCAGAACACUGACAGGUAUGUGAGGCUGAAUGAGUUGUGGAGGUGUUUAGAAAUAGUUAUUCUGUCCAGUGCAGUCCUACCCACUAAUAUGACCAAAGGCUUUGUCCUGCAAGUUGUGCUGUCUGCUUUCAGCUCAGAGAUUUAAGGGCUUUGUUUUUCUGAUAGCUUGUUAAGAAGCCCUGGAGAGCUUUUGGAACUCUCAAUAGAAAGUAAACUCAUUU
ensembl:lncRNA